rnacentral:rRNA from 1 species
UACGGGGGGAGCAAGCGUUGUUCGGAUUUACUGGGCGUAAAGGGCGCGUAGGCGGUCAGCACAAGUCAGUUGUGAAAUCUCCGGGCUUAACUCGGAAAGGUCAACUGAUACUGUGCGACUAGAGUGCGGAAGGGGCGACUGGAAUUCUUGGUGUAGCGGUGAAAUGCGUAGAUAUCAAGAGGAACACCUGCGGCGAAGGCGGGUUGCUGGGCCGACACUGACGCUGAGGCGCGAAAGCCAGGGGAGCGAACGGG